AGGCUCACACAGUCGUCACAAUUCGGCGGGGGCUCCAGACAGAGGAUCCAACCGUCGCGGUCGGGCGAGGGAUCGAGAGUUGCGCAAGGAGAUCCAGCAGACGAGUGGGAUGCGAGUGAAUUCGGCGACGAGGGAUUCAAUGGGCGAUGCGAAGGGGCGUUGAUGCGCGGAUGUAGAGAGUCGGAGCAGCGGAGGAUCGUUACAAUCAAUAAUGGCGGUCGAGGCGCGUUACUCUCCGGCGCCGACGGUGGAUGUGUGUGUUACAAUCCCGCUGCCACAUCCUCCUUAGUUCACGCCCAGAUUAAAGUUGUUGGAGGCCCUUCACAUCUUUGGUCGCCUCAAUCCGCCAAUUCAAUAGUCAGCAGUCGUCGUGCACUAGGCCUUCAUCUCCUGCUCGAGAUAAUGUGGCGGAUCUUGUUCUUUUGUUCUUGGAGCAUGCAGUUCAUGUGGAGGAUCUGUCGUGUGUAAAUGUCUUGUGUGCUGAUCCAAGGUCCAAAAGCGCAAUGAAGAGGUGCCGGUGAGAGAUAAAUCCUAGGACCAUACUCCAUGUACUUUCCUCCAUUUAUCUUUCCGUGAAAUCUUUUUUUUUUCACAUUGAGGAUAUGCGCUUCACCUUCAUAAUGUGUAUAC